GAGGGUAUAACUCAGUAGUAGAGUGCAUGCCUAACAUGCACAAGGUCCUGGGUUCAAUCCCCAGUUCUUCCA
rfam:Camelus ferus unplaced genomic scaffold scaffold1320, whole genome shotgun sequence.